ACAGCUUGAAUCACUGACCCAAACCCACUCUCACCGUCUUCCAGUCCCGUACCCCCUCCCCCCUUCAAACAUAACAGCAGCCUACGCCUCUGUGUCUGAUCACUGGCGUGCGUGCCGAGAGCUGCAACAUCAGACUGAACAGAUUGUGCGGGCGAUGGAAUAUGAUGGGGACCUCUACAUCGACCCACUCCCUCUCCUGGGCAUAAUCGCGUACCUAGUGGUGGUCAACUCGGUAAUCUUUUUACAAGACUACUAUUCCGCGUACCUAGUGGUGGUCAACUCGGUAAUCUUUUUACAAGACUACUAUUCCGACCUCCGCAACCUCUGCGUCCGUGUUCUAAGGAGAGUUGCUGUGAAUUACAGUCUAGGACCUCUCUCUAUAUCUCUCUCUCACUCUCCCGCCCUCUCUCUCUUCUUCUCUCUCUCUCUCCCUCUGGCUCUCUGUCUCUGUCUCUCUCUUUCUCUGUCUCUCUCUCUGUCUCUUGCACGGAACAAUGUGGUAGCAUAGCUAGAGGUGUCUGCGGCAUACAGAACCUGAGGUUUCUAGAAUGUAAAUAAUUACUUUUAUGAUCGGAAAUGAUUAGAAAUAAUACUUUCAUAAAUUCCCAAGAAAGAAGAAUUCAUGUUGAUGUUAACUCCAUCCAUGUAACUCAAUACUAACUACUGAC
rnacentral:lncRNA from 1 species